rnacentral:rRNA from 1 species
GGGGAAUAUUGGGCAAUGGGGGAAACCCUGACCCAGCAACGCCGCGUGAAGGACGAAGGCCUUCGGGUUGUAAACUUCUUUGAUCAGGGACGAAACAAAUGACGGUACCUGAGGAACAAGCCACGGCUAACUACGUGCCAGCAGCCGCGGUAAUACGUAGGUGGCAAGCGUUAUCCGGAUUUACUGGGUGUAAAGGGCGUGUAGGCGGUCUUGCAAGUCGGAAGUGAAAUUCCCGGGCUUAACCCGGGCGCUGCUCCCGAAACUGCGAGACUUGAGUACUGGAGAGGAUAGUGGAAUUCCUAGUGUAGCGGUAAAAUGCGUAGAUAUUAGGAGGAACACCGAUGGCGAAGGCAGCCCCCUGGGCCUGUACUGACGCUCAUGCACGAAAGCGUGGGGAGCAAAC